UCCAAUUACUCUAUUUUUGAAACCAAUAUUCGAUUUUCCAAAAAAUUUAUAAAAUCAUUUUAUAAAAUCACAAUUUCUCUUAAAACAUAGCAAUUUACCAUUUAAACCCAUUUUCCAUAAAAUCACACAGUUGUAUAAAACUACUCUAGAUAAUUAAGACGAUAAUAAGUUUACUCACAGUAUUAGGAGUAGAAAUACUCCUAUUUUCCGCCCUCGGGUGCAGUCUCUUACCCGAAACAAUUGACUCACCACCUA
rnacentral:lncRNA from 1 species